GAUGAACGCUGGCGGCGUGCCUAAUACAUGCAAGUCGAACGGAAAGGCUUCCUUGUGGGGUACUUGAGUUGAGAACGGGAGAGUAAAGUGUGAGUAACAUAACCUAGACGUUGGGAUAACGUCAGGAAACUGGGGCUAAUACAGGAUAGGAGAUCCUAAUGCAGCGUAAGGGUAGGUAAGGUUCGGCGGUUAUGGAAGGACUUGCGCGGUAUCAGCUUGUUGAUGGGGUAGUGGCUCACUAAGUCAAGGACGGGUAGCCGAAGUGAUAGGGUGACCGGCCACAUUGGAACUGAGACACGGUCAAUAGUCCUACGGGACGGAGCAGUAGGGAAUGGUCGGCAAUGGUCGAAAGCAUGACGGAGUAACGCGGCGCGUGUGAAGAAGGUCUUCGGUGCGGAAAACCGUGUUAUGAGUGAAGAACCGCUGUGGACGUAACCGUGCCCGUAUUGACGGUAAUUAAUCAGAAAGCACCGGCUAACUACGUG
rnacentral:rRNA from 1 species